GACGAAGGUGGCGAGCGUUGUUCGGAAUCACUGGGCCUAAAGCGCACGUAGGCGGCGACGUAAGUUGGGUGUGAAAUCCCUCGGCCCAACCGAGGAACUGCGCCCAGUACUGCGUUGCUUGAGGAUCCAAGGGGUGCAUGGAAUUCCCGGUGGAGCGGUGAAAUGCGUUGAUAUCGGGAGGAACACCAGUGGCGAAGGCGAUCACCUGGGGUUGUUCUGACGCUGAGGAGCGAAAGCUAGGGGAGCAAACGGG
rnacentral:rRNA from 1 species